AUGGUCUAUAAUAGAGAUGGAGAAGGUGUCAGGAUGGGACUUGGGCAGUGGAUGGAGCUCUAUGACUGCAAAGCCUGCCUAGGCUCCAAGGACCCAGAGCUGGCUGCUGCAGGAAGUCCUAGAUCACAACUCUGCAGUUCCUCUUCCCAGGUCUUGCUUUUAACUACUGGACCCAACACAAAGCCUCCCUUGCAGGCUUACCAGAGCAUGAAAACGAAAUGGCCACCUCCUGUAACAAGAAAGACUUCUAGAAGAGGAAGGAGACAUCAAUACAUUCACAAAACUUUCAACUCGAAAUCUGUCUUGCCAAUAAGUGUGCAGGGAUAAAGACAGAAAAGUAGCACACCUGUCUCCAGAGGCUUCACUCAGCAGCUGAAAGCCACAGCCAAUCCUCAGAUGGAGCUCGGGAAGUCUUGUGGAAGAGUGGGGGGAGAGUGACAAGGAAACUGGUUGGGAUAAAACACUACAAGUAGUCCCCUACCGUCAGAUACCUUGGACCAUGGAGUAUGCUAGAGCCUGUGCAACCAACCCCAGAGCCAGAUCUUCAGGAAACAUCUCAACGAAGAACAAGAGAGGCUGAAGAAGAAUGGGGAAGGGUUUGAUCCCUGAAGUUCCUCAGUGUCCACUAGCACAGCACUUGUCCUUGGGAGAUGACAUUUUUCACUCUUCCUGACUGUUGCAC
ensembl:lncRNA